rnacentral:lncRNA from 1 species
CACCACCACGAAAGCGGCGGACGCCGGCAAGCUCAACAUCAUCACCGCCACCAUCCCUAAAGCUAAGCUUGGCCGAGUAUUCAUCAACUGCGAUUGUAAAACGCCCAAAACAUCACAUAUAAUCGAAUCGUAACUCGUGUAAUACCGUUUCUCCCACUCCAUCCAAUCCGCCGGCGGUUCAUAGUUCCGCUCUAUCAUCUUAAUCUCGUGUAUUCUUUUCCGUAGAACAAUCAUGUUUUCAUCGACGAGUCGCCGUCUUCCUCCACCACCAACGCCGCUGCAGCUCAAGUCAUCGUUAUCCGAUCUUCUCGAAGCGAAUAUCUUCGGCGUCGUCGUGGAGAUCGGUUUUCUGGAUCGGUGUUUCGGAAAGCAGGUUGUUGAGGAAAGAAAACAGGUAUUGCAAAGAGAUUUUGAUCCCAUGAUUUUGAAUUUUCUUUCUUUUUUUUUUUUUGUUUGUUUGUUGAUGAUGAUAUUUGAUAAUAGCGUUUAUGCUAACAGUGGUUUUAUAGUUUGAAAAACGGCGGUGGGAACCACCGAUGGGGGCGGCGCGCGAAAGCGUGUUAAUUAACAGCGCAGAUACAAGUUGGCUGCGCGUUUUUCAAAGUGGAUCCCCCAAAACACAACGCUCAUCACGUUUUGAUAGCGCCAUAUCGGAUAUUCUAAUUUAGACAAUCAAAUUUAGACAUGUCUCCAAAUAUUAGGUUUUUUUUAUAACAAAUUAGGCAGUUUAUUUCUUUUUUAAAGUUUAUAAUAUUUUAUAGAUUUAAUGAUAAAUUUAACGAAAAGUAUUUGCAUAUUUUGUCAGAAUAAUUUUAAUUAUAUUUUUUAUUUUUUU